AACCACCUCUUCACAUCAAAAACACAUUUUCUUAAAAAUCUCUCGACUGUUUCGUCAAAUUCUUCUGAAGUCUCUGACAAUGGUUUUCGUCCGGUUAAGCUUUAACUAGAUAAGCUUUAUAUGACCCUUGAAAAGUCACCUAAGUCAUCUUCCCCUUCUUUUCCUUGAGAAUCUGAAAAAACUUUUUGAAGAAUUAUUCGAUUCCUUCCUUCUUAUCUGAUCCUAUCCAUAUCCAAACUAUUA